CGCUCUUUCGAUCUUGGUAAUAGUACGCGCCCCGCUCCGAAACAAAGAAAAAGGUGCGUGCCGCACUCACGAGGGACUGCCAGUGAGAUACUAGAGGAAGGUGGGGAUGACGUCAAGUCCGCAUGGCCCUUAUGGGCUGGGCCACACACGUGCUACAAUGACAAUGACAAUGACAAUGGGAAGCAAGGCUGUAAGGCGGAGCGAAUCCAGAAAGAUUGCCUCAGUUCAGAUUGUUCUCUGCAACUCGGGAA